CGAAUGCUGACAUAAGUAACGAUAAAGCGGGUGAAAAGCCCGCUCGCCGGAAGACCAAGGGUUCCUGUCCAACGUUAAUCGGGGCAGGGUGAGUCGACCCCUAAGGCGAGGCCGAAAGGCGUAGUCGAUGGGAAACAGGUUAAUAUUCCUGUACUUGGUGUUACUGCGAAGGGGGGACGGAGAAGGCUAUGUUGGCCGGGCGACGGUUGUCCCGGUUUAAGCGUGUAGGCUGGUUUUCCAGGCAAAUCCGGAAAAUCAAGGCUGAGGCGUGAUGACGAGGCACUACGGUGCUGAAGCAACAAAUGCCCUGCUUCCAGGAAAAGCCUCUAAGCAUCAGGUAACAUUAAAUCGUACCCCAAACCGACACAGGUGGUCAGGUAGAGAAUACCAAGGCGCUUGAGAGAACUCGGGUGAAGGAACUAGGCAAAAUGGUGCCGUAACUUCGGGAGAAGGCACGCUGAUAUGUAGGUGAAGUCCCUCGCGGAUGGAGCUGAAAUCAGUCGAAGAUACCAGCUGGCUGCAACUGUUUAUUAAAAACACAGCACUGUGCAAACACGAAAGUGGACGUAUACGGUGUGACGCCUGCCCGGUGCCGGAAGGUUAAUUGAUGGGGUUAGCGGUAACGCGAAGCUCUUGAUCGAAGCCCCGGUAAACGGCGGCCGUAACUAUAACGGUCCUAAGGUAGCGAAAUUCCUUGUCGGGUAAGUUCCGACCUGCACGAAUGGCGUAAUGAUGGCCAGGCUGUCUCCACCCGAGACUCAGUGAAAUUGAACUCGCUGUGAAGAUGCAGUGUACCCGCGGCAAGACGGAAAGACCCCGUGAACCUUUACUAUAGCUUGACACUGAACAUUGAGCCUUGAUGUGUAGGAUAGGUGGGAGGCUUUGAAGUGUGGACGCCAGUCUGCAUGGAGCCGACCUUGAAAUACCACCCUUUAAUGUUUGAUGUUCUAACGUUGACCCGUGAUCCGGGUUACGGACAGUGUCUGGUGGGUAGUUUGACUGGGGCGGUCUCCUCCUAAAGAGUAACGGAGGAGCACGAAGGUUGGCUAAUCCUGGUCGGACAUCAGGAGGUUAGUGCAAUGGCAUAAGCCAGCUUGACUGCGAGCGUGACGGCGCGAGCAGGUGCGAAAGCAGGUCAUAGUGAUCCGGUGGUUCUGAAUGGAAGGGCCAUCGCUCAACGGAUAAAAGGUACUCCGGGGAUAACAGGCUGAUACCGCCCAAGAGUUCAUAUCGACGGCGGUGUUUGGCACCUCGAUGUCGGCUCAUCACAUCCUGGGGCUGAAGUAGGUCCCAAGGGUAUGGCUGUUCGCCAUUUAAAGUGGUACGCGAGCUGGGUUUAGAACGUCGUGAGACAGUUCGGUCCCUAUCUGCCGUGGGCGCUGGAGAACUGAGGGGGGCUGCUCCUAGUACGAGAGGACCGGAGUGGACGCAUCACUGGUGUUCGGGUUGUCAUGCCAAUGGCACUGCCCGGUAGCUAAAUGCGGAAGAGAUAAGUGCUGAAAGCAUCUAAGCACGAAACUUGCCCCGAGAUGAGUUCUCCCUGACUCCUUGAGAGUCCUGAAGGAACGUUGAAGACGACGACGUUGAUAGGCCGGGUGUGUAAGCGCAGCGAUGCGUUGAGCUAACCGGUACUAAUGAACCGUGAGG
rnacentral:rRNA from 1 species